rnacentral:lncRNA from 1 species
GCUCACAAUUAUUCCCUUCUUUCUGCCUUCUUCCCCCCCCCCCCCCCCCCUCUUCUUUUAAUAUAUUCUUUUUUUUUUCUUUCUUUAAAUAUUAAGCCUAUUAUACUCCAAAGCCCAGCCCCAUUUUAAGUGUUUUAACCCCUGAUCACUGAGUCGAUACCCCGUCCGAUUGAUCUAGAACCCGGCAACGCAUGCCAAGGCUCUGCCUGACUGAGAGUUAUACCCCAAGAUUAUACCAAGAGGCUUUUAGUUGAACCCUAAAGUUACAAAGUAAUUUGUUGUAAAGAUAAUAGAAGCCAGCUAUGGAGCACUGAAGUCUUAAAUAAAGUGGCUAUAAAUACCUGAAUAAAAGAAGAAAUUUAUGUUUUAUUUAUUUGGGUUUAUCCCUAUAAAAACAUUUGAAUGGAAUAUAGGUUUAAGCCCAUUUGUUUAAUAUUAAAAGUUUGGUGUUU